GCUAUCUGCAGUCGAGCGACUGAUUAGAGCUUGCUUCUAUGACGUUAGCGGCGGACGGGUGAGUAACACGUGGGCAACCUGCCUGUAAGACUGGGAUAACUUCGGGAAACCGAAGCUAAUACCGGAUAGGAUCUUCUCCUUCAUGGGAGAUGAUUGAAAGAUGGUUUCGGCUAUCACUUACAGAUGGGCCCGCGGUGCAUUAGCUAGUUGGUGAGGUAACGGCUCACCAAGGCAACGAUGCAUAGCCGACCUGAGAGGGUGAUCGGCCACACUGGGACUGAGACACGGCCCAGACUCCUACGGGAGGCAGCAGUAGGGAAUCUUCCGCAAUGGACGAAAGUCUGACGGAGCAACGCCGCGUGAGUGAUGAAGGCUUUCGGGUCGUAAAACUCUGUUGUUAGGG
rnacentral:rRNA from 2 species